rnacentral:rRNA from 1 species
CAGGCCUAACACAUGCAAGUCGAACGGGGUAGCAAUACCUAGUGGCGCACGGGUGAGUAACGCGUGGAUAAUCUGCCUUAGAGUGGGGGAUAACUAGUCGAAAGAUUAGCUAAUACCGCAUAAGACCACAAGAGCUGCGGCUCAAGGGGUCAAAGGUUUUUCGCUCUAAGAUGAGUCCGCGUAAGAUUAGCUAGUUGGUGAGGUAAUGGCUCACCAAGGCGACGAUCUUUAACUGGUCUGAGAGGAUGAUCAGUCACACUGGAACUGAGACACGGUCCAGACUCCUACGGGAGGCAGCAGUAGGGAAUAUUGCACAAUGGAGGAAACUCUGAUGCAGCGACGCCGCGUGAGUGAUGAAGGCCUUCGGGUCGUAAAGCUCUGUCGCAGGGGAAUAACACAAUGAAUGUACCCUGUAAGAAAGGAUCGGCUAACUUCGUGCCAGCAGCCGCGGUAAGACGAGGGAUCCUAGCGUUGUUCGGAAUCAUUGGGCGUAAAGCGGGUGUAGGUGGCUUUGUAAGUCAGGUGUGAAAGCCUAGGGCUCAACCCUAGAAGUGCAUUUGAUACUGCGAAGCUUGAGUGCUAGAGAGGUUACUAGAAUUGUUGGUGUAGUGGUGAAAUACGUAGAUAUCAACAGGAAUACCGGUGGCGAAGGCGGGUAACUGGCUAGACACUGACACUCAGACCCGAAAGCGUGGGGAUCAAACAGGAUUAGAUACCCUGGUAGUCCACGCCGUAAACGAUGGAUACUUGUUGUUGGAGGUAUUGACCCCUUCAGUGACG